UACGUAGGGUGCAAGCGUUGUCCGGAAUUAUUGGGCGUAAAGAGCUCGUAGGCGGUUUGUCGCGUCGGCUGUGAAAACUCGGGGCUCAACCCCGAGCCUGCAGUCGAUACGGGCAAACUUGAGUGCGGUAGGGGAGACUGGAAUUCCUGGUGUAGCGGUGAAAUGCGUAGAUAUCAGGAGGAACACCGGUGGUGUAAACGGCUUUCUGGACCAUAACUGACGCUGAGGCACGAAAGCGUGGGUAGCAAACAGG
rnacentral:rRNA from 1 species